rnacentral:sRNA from 1 species
GUUUAGCCCUGAUUGAAACAGCAUCCUUUUUUCUUUUUCAGAAAAAAGAUAUCGUAAAAAGCAGGAAAUAGC